CCUACGGGAGGCUGCAGUAAGGAAUAUUGGUCAAUGGACGAAAGUCUGAACCAGCCAUCCCGCGUGCAGGAUGAAAGCCCUAUGGGUUGUAAACUGCUUUUAGCAGCGAAGAAAAGCUUCCAUUUAUGGGGGUCUGACGGUAUCUGCAGAAUAAGCACCGGCUAACGCCGUGCCAGCAGCCGCGUUAAUACGGAGGGUGCGGGCGUUACCCGGAUUUAAGGGGUUGUAGGGGGAGUAUUAAGUCGUUUGUGAAAUCUUGUCGCUUAACGAUAAAAUUGCCAAUGAUACUGGUACUCUUGAAUUGGGUUGAGGUUAGCGGAAUGUGACAUGUAGCGGUGAAAUGCAUAGAUAUGUCAUGGAACACCAAUUGCGAAGGCAGCUAACUGGGCCUUGAUUGACGCUGAGGCACGAAAGCGUGGGUAGCGAACAGGAUUAGAUACCCGUGUAGUC
rnacentral:rRNA from 1 species